UAACGGCGAGUGAAGCGGCAACAGCUCAAAUUUGAAAUCUGGCCGCAAGGUCCGAGUUGUAAUUUGCAGAGGAUGCUUUUGGCGAGGUGCCUUCCGAGUUCCCUGGAACGGGACGCCAUAGAGGGUGAGAGCCCCGUACGGUAGGACCACCGAGCCUCUGUAAAGCUCCUUCGACGAGUCGAGUAGUUUGGGAAUGCUGCUCUAAAUGGGAGGUGUACGUCUUCUAAAGCUAAAUACCGGCCAGAGACCGAUAGCGCACAAGUAGAGUGAUCGAAAGAUGAAAAGCACUUUGAAAAGAGGGUUAAAAAGUACGUGAAAUUGUUGAAAGGGAAGCAUUUAUGACCAGACUUGGGCUUGGUUGGACAUCCGGCGUUCUCGCCGGUGCACUCUGCCAGCUCAGGCCAGCAUCAGUUUGCCCCGGGGGACAAAGGCGGCGGGAAUGUGGCUCUCUUCGGGGAGUGUUAUAGCCCGUCGUGUAAUGCCCUGGGGCGGACUGAGGAACGCGCUUCGGCACGGAUGCUGGCGUAAUGGUCAUCAAUGACCCGUCUUGAAACACGGACCAAGGAGUCGUCUUCGUAUGCGAGUGUUCGGGUGUCAAACCCCUACGCGUAAUGAAAGUGAACGUAGGUGAGAGCUUCGGCGCAUCACCGACCGAUCCUGAUGUUCUCGGAUGGAUUUGAGUAAGAGCAUACGGGGCCGGACCCGAAAGAAGGUGAACUAUGCCUGUAUAGGGUGAAGCCAGAGGAAACUCUGGUGGAGGCUCGCAGCGGUUCUGACGUGCAAAUCGAUCGUCAAAUAUGGGCAUGGGGGCGAAAGACUAAUCGAAC
rnacentral:rRNA from 1 species